UCGACACGGCACGUACCCGG
rnacentral:misc_RNA from 1 species